AGAAUCAACGCUGGCGGCGUGCCUAACACAUGCAAGUCGCACGAGAAAGGGACUUCGGUCCUGAGUACAGUGGCGCACGGGUGAGUAACACGUGACUAAUCUACCUUUGAGUGGGGAAUAACCUGGGGAAACCCGGGCUAAUACCGCAUAAUACCUACGGGUCAAAGCAGCAAUGCGCUUAAAGAGGAGGUCGCGGUCGAUUAGUUAGUUGGCGGGGUAAUGGCCCACCAAGACGAUGAUCGAUA
rnacentral:rRNA from 1 species